rnacentral:rRNA from 1 species
CCUACGGGGUGCAGCAGUCGAGAAUCAUUCACAAUGGGGGAAACCCUGAUGGUGCGACGCCGCGUGGGGGAAUGAAGGUCUUCGGAUUGUAAACCCCUGUCAUGUGGGAGCAAAUUAAAAAGAUAGUACCACAAGAGGAAGAGACGGCUAACUCUGUGCCAGCAGCCGCGGUAAUACAGAGGUCUCAAGCGUUGUUCGGAAUCACUGGGCGUAAAGCGUGCGUAGGCUGUUUCGUAAGUCGUGUGUGAAAGGCGCGGGCUCAACCCGCGGACGGCACAUGAUACUGCGAGACUAGAGUAAGGGAGGGGGAACCGGAAUUCUCGGUGUAGCAGUGAAAUGCGUAGAUAUCGAGAGGAACACUCGUGGCGAAGGCGGGUUCCUGGACAUUAACUGACGCUGAGGCACGAAGGCCAGGGGAGCGAAAGGGAUUAGAUACCCGAGUAGUC